rnacentral:rRNA from 1 species
GAUGAACGCUGGCGGCGUGCCUAAUACAUGCAAGUCGAGCGAACGGACGAGAAGCUUGCUUCUCUGAUGUUAGCGGCGGACGGGUGAGUAACACGUGGAUAACCUACCUAUAAGACUGGGAUAACUUCGGGAAACCGGAGCUAAUACCGGAUAAUAUUUUGAACCGCAUGGUUCAAAAGUGAAAGACGGUCUUGCUGUCACUUAUAGAUGGAUCCGAGCUGCAUUAGCUAGUUGGUAAGGUAACGGCUUACCAAGGCAACGAUGCAUAGCCGACCUGAGAGGGUGAUCGGCCACACUGGAACUGAGACACGGUCCAGACUCCUACGGGAGGCAGAAGUAGGGAAUCUUCCGCAAUGGGCGAAAGCCUGACGGAGCAACGCCGCGUGAGUGAUGAAGGUCUUCGGAUCGUAAAACUCUGUUAUUAGGGAAGAACAUAUGUGUAAGUAACUGUGCACAUCUUGACGGUACCUAAUCAGAAAGCCACGGCUAACUACGUG